AGAUCAUUCUAGCUGAGUCCAGAUUACACAUUUCAAACCUGCGAAAGAUGAGUGAAGUAUCUAUCUCACUGUACCUCAACCAAUGGAGAUUCUGACCUUGAAACCAACAACACACAGACAUAGCCUAGAGAUGUUGCAAUGUGCAGAGUCGAAUCAAUCUAAUUGAUCUUCGAUACGACUGAAGAAUGAAGAAGAACCACACAAUCAAAUCCACUGAAAUCAAAACCCCAAACGCAAAUUGAAAUCUCACAAACAAAACUCAUUGAUACUUUGAAAAGCUUUUUUAGUUUCCGUCUCUGAUUCUUCCAUGGCUGGAUCUAUCCUUCUCCCUAGUCCCUUCCAUUCAAUUUCAGGCUUACAUUUUUUUUUUUUUUUUGGGGGUUACGCUUUUUUUUU
rnacentral:lncRNA from 1 species